rnacentral:rRNA from 1 species
CGUAGGUUGCAAGCGUUAAUCGGAAUUACUGGGCGUAAAGCGUGCGUAGACGGUUAUUUAAGUCGGAUGUGAAAGCCCCGGGCUCAACCUGGGAAUUGCAUUCGAGACUGAAUAGCUAGGGUGCGGUAGAGGGAAGCGGAAUUUCCGGUGUAGCGGUGAAAUGCGUAGAUAUCUGGAGGAACACCGGUGGCGAAGGCGGCAUCCUGGACCAACACUGACACUGAGGAGCGAAAGCCAGGGGAGCAAACGGG